GAUGAAGAACGUAGCGAAAUGCGAUAAGUAAUGUGAAUUGCAGAAUUCAAUGAAUCAUCGAAUCUUUGAACGCACCUUGCGCUCCUUGGCAUUCCGAGGAGCAUGCCUGUUUGAGUGUCAUUAAAUUCUCAAGACCUGUCUGCUUUUUUGAUAGGUAUUGGAUUUUGGGGGUUGCAGGCUGUUUCAAAUAAAUAGCCUUGCUCUCCUUGAAUGUAUUAGUGGAGAAAAGCCAUUGAACUCCAUUGGUGUGAUAAAACCUAUCAAUGCCAGGAGCAAUAUCACUACUUCUCUCUGCUGUCUAACUGUGACUGUCUGUAUUAAUUAGUAUGGAUGGGGACAACUUGACCAACUUGACCUCAAAUCAGGUAGGACUACCCGCUGAACUUAAGCAUAUCAAUAAGCGGAGGA
rnacentral:misc_RNA from 1 species